GCACUGAAAUCAUUCAUGAAAAUAACAAAAAACAAAGGACCUAAUAUGCUCCCUUGCGGAACUCCUGAUGUGACAAUGUAGGGGUAUGAGCUAACACCAUCAACAACAACUUUAUUUAUUCUAUUUGAGAGAUAGGUCUUAAUCCAAGACAAAAAGCUUGAGUGAAAACCAAAAAGAUUUAGCUUCUUAAGAAGUAGAUUGUGGGAUACACGAUCAAAAGCUUUUGAAAUAUCAGUGUAGAUGACAUCAACUUGGCAACCAGCUACAAACGACGAAAGACAAUAAUUUGAAAAAAACAGUUAAGUUACUGACGGUUGAGCGCCCAGGUACAAACCCAUGAUGCAAUAAUGAAAGGUGUUAUACGUUGGCAACUUCUCGCUCUAAUCCGCCAUCUUGAACUACCUUAGGAGAAACUGUGUUGUUUCUUUGCUAAUUUCACUGAACAUUUCCCAAAAUAUUAGAAAAAAAUUCUAAACAAGCUACAUUGAUCCAAUUUUCGUUGUUCGUUUUGUUCUUAUUCGCUGACAUUUGUUUUCUAAUUGCUUGAAAUUUGGUAAUUUCCUUAGUGUUUUCCUGGCCGACCUGUGCUGGUAUUGUAAUUAAGAGCUAAUACACCAUUCUCUGGUGAACUGCAGCUGCGGCCGAAUUUGAUUGUGUGCAUCAUCCUGCAGAUAUUUUGAAGUAAGUUGGAACCAGCUCUUUGUUAUUUCAAAACCUAA